GACAUACUAAAUCAUGAACAAAGAUAAAAAAAACCCAUACAAGUUUGAUGAUAAAUCAAGAACAAAUUUAUCACUAAAAUAGAUUCUAAUAUAUAAAGAUAUAAAUUUCACGAAGAAUAAAACUAACCUGACAAAAAUCCUCUUGAUUUCGUGAUUUUACAACUUUUUAAAAAGUAACUUACCGAAGACCAUAUAUGAAGGCGUCGUCUUAAUCUCAAAUCUGUUGGAGUUUGAGAGCCGCCUCUUAUUUGAUUACAAAUUACAAAUAGAGCAAUUACGAACCCAGCCGCUGCUCCGCGUUAUUUGGAUCGCACAUAAUCUAUGAUGAAGGGGAAGGUGAUCCAGCCUCCUCGUUUGGCUGUGGAAGACCCAAGCAUUGGAAAAAAA
rnacentral:lncRNA from 1 species